rnacentral:rRNA from 1 species
GGUAGUAGAAAAUAUUCAAAUGAGAACUAUGAAGGCCAAAGAGGGGAAAGGUUCCAUGUGAAUGGCACUUGCACAUGGGUUAGUCGAUCCUAAGAGUCGGGGGAAACCCGUCUGAUAGCGCUUAUGUGCGAACUUCAAAAGCGGAUCCGGUUAAAAUUCCAGAACUGGGACAUGGCGGUUGACGGCAAUGUUAGGAAGUCUGGAGACGUCGGCAGGAAUUCUGGAAAUAGUUAUCUUUUUUGUUUAACAGCCUUCCCACCCUGGAAACGGCUCAGCCGGAGGUAGGGUCCAGCAGCAGGAAGAGCACUGCACGUCGCGUGGUGUCCGGUGAAUUCCCAGCGGCCCUUUAAAAUCUGGAGGACCGAGUGCCGCUCACGCCCGGAUGUUCUCAUAACCGCAUCAGGUCUCUAAGGUGAACAGCCUCUGGUC